CCUACGGGAGGCAGCAGUCGAGAAUCAUUCACAAUGGGGGAAACCCUGAUGGUGCGACGCCGCGUGGGGGAAUGAAGUUCUUCGGAUUGUAAACCCCUGUCAUGUGGGAGCAAAUUAAAAAGAUAGUACCACAAGAGGAAGAGACGGCUAACUCUGUGCCAGCAGCCGCGGUAAUACAGAGGUCUCAAGCGUUGUUCGGAAUCACUGGGCGUAAAGCGUGCGUAGGCUGUUUCGUAAGUCGGGUGUGAAAGGCGCGGGCUCAACCCGCGGACGGCACAUGAUACUGCGAGACUAGAGUAAGGGAGGGGGAACCGGAAUUCUCGGUGUAGCAGUGAAAUGCGUAGAUAUCGAGAGGAACACUCGUGGCGAAGGCGGGUUCCUGGACAUUAACUGACGCUGAGGCACGAAGGCCAGGGGAGCGAAAGGGAUUAGAUACCCCUGUAGUC
rnacentral:rRNA from 1 species